CGUCAAUUAAGCUGCGGUUAACUGCAGCUUCUGGGCGGCCAAUUGACGGCACACUCCAGUUCCCAGGUGGUCGAUCGUUCGGUACUUUGUUCGGCAGAAAGGCACAAAAGGCACGAAAAAGCCUUUCUGCAUGGAAAAUAAAAGGGUUUAAAUGCCGGGCCAUAGUCUAAAGGGAGCAGGCGAGCAACCAGGCUCCUCCAGUGCACAGUGGCGAGGUUGGUUCCGCCACAACCCUAUAUAUUGUAUGUAUUUUAUUUAUACUAUCAGGGAUUGUACAAUCUUCCUAGACCACCAAGAACUAAAGAUAUAACAGAGAAAAUACAGUUUAAUUCAUUGGAAUCUUUGGACGCUCCUAUAACAGGUUAAGAGUUUGAAAAGGCAAUUAAAUCCUUUCCAUUAAGAAAACGUCCAGGUCCGGAUGGCC